GACGAACGCUGGCGGCGUGCUUAACACAUGCAAGUCGAACGGAAAGGCCCUGCUUUUGUGGGGUGCUCGAGUGGCGAACGGGUGAGUAACACGUGAGUAACCUGCCCUUGACUUUGGGAUAACUUCAGUAAACUGGGGCUAAUCCCGGAUAGGAGCUCCUGCUGCAUGGUGGGGGUUGGAAAGUUUCGGCGGUUGGGGAUGGACUCGCGGCUUAUCAGCUUGUUGGUGGGGUAGUGGCUUACCAAGGCUUUGACGGGUAGCCGGCCUGAGAGGGUGACCGGCCACAUUGGGACUGAGAUACGGCCCAGACUCCUACGGGAGGCAGCAGUGGGGAAUAUUGCACAAUGGGCGGAAGCCUGAUGCAGCAACGCCGCGUGCGGGAUGACGGCCUUCGGGUUGUAAACCGCUUUCGCCUGUGACGAAGCGUGAGUGACGGUAAUGGGUAAAGAAGCACCGGCUAACUACGUG
rnacentral:rRNA from 1 species